AGUCAAGUAAUUAAGUGCAUGUGGUGGAUGCCUUGGCAGUCAGAGGCGAUGAAAGACGUGAUAGCCUGCGAAAAGCUCCGGGGAGGCGGCAAAUAUCCUUUGAUCCGGAGAUGUCUGAAUGGGGGAACCCACCUACUUUAAGGUAGGUAUUGCAACAUGAAUACAUAGUGUUGCAAGGCGAACGAGGGGAAGUGAAACAUCUCAGUACCCUUAGGAAAAGAAAUCAAUUGAGAUUCCCUCAGUAGCGGCGAGCGAACGGGGAUCAGCCCAUUAAGUUAUGUGUGUUUUAGUGGAACGCUCUGGGAAGUGCGAACGUAGAGGGUGAUAUUCCCGUACACGAAAGGGCACACAUAAUGAUGACGAGUAGGGCGAGGCACGUGAAACCUUGUCUGAAUAUGGGGGGACCAUCCUCCAAGGCUAAAUACUCCUGACUGACCGAUAGUGAACCAGUACCGUGAGGGAAAGGCGAAAAGAACCCCUGUGAGGGGAGUGAAAUAGAUCCUGAAACCGCAUGCAUACAAGCAGUGGGAGCACCUUCGUGGUGUGACUGCGUACCUUUUGUAUAAUGGGUCAGCGACUUAUAUUCAGUAGCGAGGUUAACCGUAUAGGGGAGCCGUAGAGAAAUCGAGUCUUAAUAGGGCGUUUAGUUGCUGGGUAUAGACCCGAAACCAGGCGAUCUAUCCAUGAGCAGGUUGAAGGUUGGGUAACACUAACUGGAGGACCGAACCCACUGUCGUUGAAAAGCCAGGGGAUGACUUGUGGAUAGGGGUGAAAGGCUAAUCAAGCCUGGUGAUAGCUGGUUCUCCCCGAAAGCUAUUUAGGUAGCGCCUCGGACGAAUACCAUAGGGGGUAGAGCACUGUUUCGGCUAGGGGGUCAUCCCGACUUACCAAACCGAUGCAAACUCCGAAUACCUAUGAGUACUAUCCGGGAGACAGACUGCGGGUGCUAACGUCCGUAGUCAAGAGGAAAACAAUCCAGACCGCCAGCUAAGGCCCCAAAAUCAUAGUUAAGUGGGAAACGAUGUGGGAAGGCAUAGACAGCUAGGAGGUUGGCUUAGAAGCAGCCACCCUUUAAAGAAAGCGUAAUAGCUCACUAGUCGAGUCGGCCUGCGCGGAAGAUGUAACGGGGCUAAAACUAUGUGCCGAAGCUGCGGAUGUAUACUUUGUAUACGUGGUAGGGGAGCGUUCUGUAAGCCGAUGAAGGUGUGUUGAGAAGCAUGCUGGAGGUAUCAGAAGUGCGAAUGCUGACGUGAGUAACGACAAAACGGGUGAAAAACCCGUUCGCCGAAAGACCAAGGGUUCCAGUCCAACGUUAAUCGGGGCUGGGUGAGUCGACCCCUAAGGCGAGGCCGAAAGGCGUAGUCGAUGGGAAAAUGGUUAAUAUUCCAUUACUUCUGUGUAAUGCGAUGAGAGGACGGAGAAGGCUAAAUCAGCCUGGCGUUGGUUGUCCAGGUGAAAGGAUGUAGGCAUGUAUCUUAGGCAAAUCCGGGGUACUCUAUGCUGAGAUCUGAUAGCAAGCUGUACUUGUACAGCGAAGUGGUUGAUGCCAUGCUUCCAGGAAAAGUCUCUAAGCUUCAGUUACACAGGAAUCGUACCCGAAACCGACACAGGUGGUCAGGUCGAGUAGACCAAGGCGCUUGAGAGAACUCUGCUGAAGGAACUAGGCAAAAUGGUACCGUAACUUCGGGAGAAGGUACGCUGUUGUUGGUGAUGGAACUCGCUUCCUGAGCUGACGACAGCCGCAGAAACCAGGCCGCUGCAACUGUUUAUUAAAAACAUAGCACUCUGCAAACACGAAAGUGGACGUAUAGGGUGUGAU
rnacentral:rRNA from 1 species